rnacentral:piRNA from 1 species
GUUCACAUCUGGGGUAGAAGGCUU